CCUACGGGUGGCUGCAGUGGGGAAUAUUGGGCAAUGGGCGCAAGCCUGACCCCGCAACGCCGCGUGAAGGAAGAAGGCUUUCGGGUUGUAAACUUCUUUUAAGAGGGAAGAGAAGAAGACGGUACCUCUUGAAUAAGCCACGGCUAACUACGUGCCAGCAGCCGGGGUAAUACGGAGGGGGCAAGUGUUGUCCGGAUUUACGGGGGGUAAGGGGCGCGUAGGCGGGAGAGCAAGUUGAAUGUGAAAUCCCCCGGCUUAACUGGGAGCUGCGUUUUAAAAUUCUUGUCUUGAGUGAAGUAGAGGCAGGCGGAAUUCCUAGUGUAGCGGUGAAAUGCGUAGAUAUUAGGAGGAACACCAGUGGCGAAGGCGGCCUGCUGGGCUUUAACUGACGCUGAGGCUCGAAAGCGUGGGGAGCAAACAGGAUUAGAUACCCGAGUAGUC
rnacentral:rRNA from 1 species